AAUAAUAUCAAUUUUCAGUUUUCUGAUACAAUGUUUUGACUCUUCAUCUUGUUUGAAAUUUUUUACGAUUAAUAUUUUUAUUCUUACUGGAUGAUAAAACAUAAAUAGUAUUUUAUACGUGACUAUUUUUAGUUUUUAUACAAAUCUUUCAAAUAAGACGAAUGGUCAAACAUUGGACACGACAAAAC
rnacentral:pre_miRNA from 1 species